AGCAGCCGCGGUAAUUCCAGCUCCAAUAGCGUAUAUUAAAGUUGUUGCAGUUAAAAAGCUCGUAGUUGAAUUUCGGGAUUAGUGCGCCGGUCGUGCCUUCGGUAUGUACUGGUGUUACUGGUUCCUACCUUCCGACGAACCGUCAUGUCAUUAAUUUGGUGUGGCGGGGAAUCAGGACUGUUACUUUGAAAAAAUUAGAGUGUUUAAAGCAGGCUCGCGCUUGAAUACAUUAGCAUGGAAUAAUGAAAUAGGACGUUCGAUCCUAUUUUGUUGGUUUCUAGGAUUGACGUAAUGAUUAAUAGGGAUAGUUGGGGGCAUUAGUAUUCAAUUGUCAGAGGUGAAAUUCUUGGAUUUAUUGAAGACUAACUACUGCGAAAGCAUUUGCCAAGGAUGUUUUCAUUAAUCAAGAACGAAAGUUAGGGGAUCGAAGACGAUCAGAUACCGUCGUAGUCUUAACCAUAAACUAUGCCGACUAGGGAUCGGAUGAUGUUAUUUUUAAUGACUCAUUCGGCGCCUUACG
rnacentral:rRNA from 1 species